CAGUCGAACGCUGAAGCCUGGUGCUUGCACCGGGUGGAUGAGUGGCGAACGGGUGAGUAACACGUGAGUAACCUGCCCCUGACUUCGGGAUAAGCCCGGGAAACUGGGUCUAAUACCGGAUACGACUGCCGGACGCAUGUCUGGUGGUGGAAAGUUUUUUCGGUUGGGGAUGGGCUCGCGGCCUAUCAGUUUGUUGGUGAGGUAAUGGCUCACCAAGACGACGACGGGUAGCCGGCCUGAGAGGGCGACCGGCCACACUGGGACUGAGACACGGCCCAGACUCCUACGGGAGGCAGCAGUGGGGAAUAUUGCACAAUGGGGGAAACCCUGAUGCAGCGACGCAGCGUGCGGGAUGACGGCCUUCGGGUUGUAAACCGCUUUCAGCAGGGAAGAAGCGCAAGUGACGGUACCUGCAGAAGAAGUACCGGCUAACUACGUGCCAGCAGCCGCGGUAAUACGUAGGGUACGAGCGUUGUCCGGAAUUAUUGGGCGUAAAGAGCUCGUAGGUGGUUGGUCACGUCUGCUGUGGAAACGCAACGCUUAACGUUGCGCGUGCAGUGGGUACGGGCUGACUAGAGUGCAGUAAGGGAGUCUGGAAUUCCUGGUGUAGCGGUGAAAUGCGCAGAUAUCAGGAGGAACACCGGUGGCGAACGCGGGACUCUGGGCUGUAACUGACACUGAGGAGCGAAAGCAUGGGGAGC
rnacentral:rRNA from 1 species